UAGGGAAUCUUCCGCAAUGGACGCAAGUCUGACGGAGCAACGCCGCGUGAGUGAAGAAGGAUUUCGGUUCGUAAAACUCUGUUGUUAGAGAAGAACAGCGCAUAGAGUAACUGUUAUGCGUGUGACGGUAUCUAACCAAAAAGCCCCGGCUAACUACGUGCCAGCAGCCGCGGUAAUACGUAGGGGGCUAGCGUUGUCCGGAAUCACUGGGCGUAAAGGGUUCGCAGGCGGAAAUGCAAGUCAGGUGUAAAAGGCAGUAGCUUAACUACUGUAAGCAUUUGAAACUGCAUAUCUUGAGAAGAGUAGAGGUAAGUGGAAUUUUUAGUGUAGCGGUGAAAUGCGUAGAUAUUAAAAAGAAUACCGGUGGCGAAGGCGACUUACUGGGCUCAUUCUGACGCUGAGGAACGAAAGCGUGGGUAGCAAACAGG
rnacentral:rRNA from 1 species